rnacentral:rRNA from 1 species
UACGUAGGCAGCAAGCGUUGUUCGGAAUUACUGGGCGUAAAGAGUGUGUAGGCGGUGUUCUAAGUCUGUUGUGAAAUCUCCCGGCUUAACUGGGAGGGUGCGGCGGAAACUGGAAUGCUAGAGGAUGGGAGAGGUAAGCGGAAUUCCUGGUGUAGCGGUGAAAUGCGUAGAGUAUCAGGAGGAACACCUGCGGUGUAGACGGCUUUCUGGACCAUUGCUGACGCUGAGACACGAAAGCGUGGGUAGCAAACAGG